UCACCAUGAUGAAAAAAUUCCUACAUUCGCAGUUUCCUCGGUAGCACACGCUAGAACCCAUUCUAUAAGUGUGCGUAACGUGACCGCUGCAAGACCUUUCUUGGAAGUCUGAUUUG
rnacentral:snoRNA from 1 species